CCGACUUCUGCGUUUGUAAGAACAGGCCUGUACACUUAAAUGUUAAUGUAUCGUCGGUCCAAACAACUGUGUAUGUGAAUCUUUCCUCUGUUUGUAGUGAGCGUGGACUCUGAUAAUACAUACUUUGAGAAGGUGUCAGAAGAACUGGAGUUGAUUGUGAAGGAGAUUCAGUUCAGUCCAAAAGAAGAUUGUGCUCCGCUGCCCUCUGCUGCUUCUGUAGGAGACUGCAGCUCUUCAGGUGAUGACACUACAGAGCGGAUUAUCAGCCUGCUGAAGCAACAUGGGGAUAUUAUUGAUCAGAAAAUAAGCAGGAACAAGAGUGUCCAAGACUUCCUCCAGAAACUGUCUUACAGCUCCUUCCAGCAGCUCGCUGAUCGCUACAUAGCCCAGAUCCCCAGUCCCCUUCCCCAGACCACAGACGCCUCUCCUGAGCUGGUCCGACUCGCCUUCACCCUGGACUUUACUGCCAAAGUGGCUGGAUUGUGCAGCCAGACGGUCGGUCGAAUCAUGGGGUUUGGUAACCAGUACCUUCAGGAUUCCUUCACACAAAUGUGUGCAGCCCACAGACAGGUGCCUGAAGAUUUGGAAGAACAGAGUACAAGUGAUACAGACUGACUGUGAAGUCAAAAACUACAAAAAAAAAGUGCAAUAGAGUUAACUCAGGGGGGAAAAACUGUGAUAUAUUUGUAGCUGCUUUUGUGAAUAAGCCAAAUUUAGUAGUUUGUUUAUACUGUAAGCUUUAUACAAUGACCGACUGUAAAAAUUACAACAGGGUUGAACCUGAUACUAAAACUGUGAAUAAGAAAUGUUUUUUGAACACCACAUUAGCAUAUUCUAAUGAUUUCUGAAUGAUAAUGUGACAUUGAAGACUGGAGUAAUGACUGCUUAUUUUAAAUUAUAAUUGAG
rnacentral:lncRNA from 1 species